GAUGAACGCUGGCGGCGUGCCUAAUACAUGCAAGUCGAGCGAACGGACGAGAAGCUUGCUUCUCUGAUGUUAGCGGCGGACGGGUGAGUAACACGUGGAUAACUUACCUAUAAGACUGGGAUAACUUCGGGAAACCGGAGCUAAUACCGGAUAAUAUUUUGAACCGCAUGGUUCAAAAGUGAAAGACGGUCUUGCUGUCACUUAUAGAUGGAUCCGCGCUGCAUUAGCUAGUUGGUAAGGUAACGGCUUACCAAGGCAACGAUGCAUAGCCGACCUGAGAGGGUGAUCGGCCACACUGGAACUGAGACACGGUCCAGACUCCUACGGGAGGCAGCAGUAGGGAAUCUUCCGCAAUGGGCGAAAGCCUGACGGAGCAACGCCGCGUGAGUGAUGAAGGUCCUCGGAUCGUAAAACUCUGUUAUUAGGGAAGAACAUAUGUGUAAGUAACUGUGCACAUCUUGACGGUACCUAAUCAGAAAGCCACGGCUAACUACGUG
rnacentral:rRNA from 1 species